AUGAUUAUUGAUGUCUUAGAAACCACGGAAGUGCCUGAGAAUGGUCAUGUAGGAAUUAGGGCUUCUCCCCCAAAAAAGGUGGCAGGAUCAGUAGCCCAACUGAAGUGCACCUACACCAAUGCAUGCAGCAUGGGCAACAAACAGGAGGAGCUGGAAGCCAUUGUGAAGCAGGAAAACUAUGGUAUAGUUGCCAUCACAGAAACAUGGUGGGGUGAGUUGCACAACUGGAGUGCUGCAAUGGAUGGCUAUAAACUCUUCAGAAGGAUAGGCAAGGGAGGAGAGGCGGUGGGGUAGCCCUGUAUGUUAGGGAGUGUUUUGACUGUCUGGAGCUUGAUGAUGGUGAUGAUAGGGCUAAGUGUUUAUGGGUAAGAAUAAGGGGGAAGGCCAACAAGGCAGAUAUCAUGGUGGGAGUCUGUUAUAGACCACCCAACCAGGAUGAAGAGGGAGAUGAAAUAUUCUAUAAGCAGCUGGGAGAAGUCUCACAGUUGCUAGCCCUUGUUCUUAUGGGGGACUUCAGCUUACCAGUUGUCUGCUGGAAAUACAAUACAGCGGAAAGGAAACAGUGCAGCAGGUUCCUGGAUUGUGUGGAAGAUAACUUCUUGACACAGCUGGUGAAUGAGCCAACUAGGGAAGGCUCCCCUCUGGACUGGUUUGUGAACAGAGAAGGACUUGUGGGUGAUGUGAUGGUUGGAGGCCAUCUUGGGCACAGUGAUCAUGAAAUGAUAGUUUUCAAUUCUUAGAGCAGUAAGGAGGGGGGUUAACAAAACUGCUACCUUGGACUUCUGGAGGGCAGACUUUGGCCUGUUUAGGGGACUGGUUGACAGAGUUGCUUGGGAGGCAGUCUGAAGGGCAAAGGAGUCCAGGUAGGCUGGACAUGCUUCAAGAAGAACAUCUUAAAGGUGCAGGAGCAGGCCAUCCAUAUGUGCCAAAAGAUAAGCUGGCUGGGAAGAUGACCAGUCUGGCUGAACAGAGAGCUUUGGCUGGAACUCAGGGAAAAAAAGGGAGUUUAUGACCUUUGGAAGAAGGAGCAGGCAACUCAGGAGGGCUAUAAAGAUGUCAUGAGGUUAUGCAGGGAGAAAAUGAGAAGGGCCAAAGCCCAACUAGAACUUAAUCUGGCUACUGCCAUAAAAGACAAUAAAAAAUGUUUCUAUAAACAUGUUCAGAACAAAAGGAGGGCUAAGGAGAAUGUCCACCCUUUAUUGGAUGCCGGGGGAAACAGUGACAAAGGAUGAGGAAAAGGCUGAGGUACUUAAUGCCUUCUUUGCCUCAGUCUUUAAUAGUAAGACCAGUUGUUCUCCAGGUACCCAGCCCCCUUAGCUGGAAGAUAGGGAAGGGGAGCAGAAUGAAGGCCCCAUAAUCCAAGGGGAAAUGGUUAGUGACCUUCUAUACCACUUACACACACCCAAGUCUAUGGGACUGGAUGGGAUCCACCCAAGGGUGCUGAGGGAGCUGGCAGAAGUGCUCACCAAGCCACUUUGCAUCAUUUAUCAGCAGUCCUGGCUAACCAGGGAGGUCCCAGUUGACUGGAAGUUAGCAAAUGUGAUGCCUGUCUACAAGAAGGGCUGGAAGGAGGAUCUGGGGAGCUACAGGUCUGUCAGUCUGACCUCUGUGCCAGGGAAGGUUAUGGUGCAGAUCAUCUUGAGUGUCAUCGCACAGCACAUACAGGACAACCAGGCAAUCAGGCCUAGUCAGCAUGGGUUUAUGAAAGGCAGGUUCUGCUUGACUAACCUGAUCUCCUUCUAUGACAAGGUGGUCUGCUUAGUGGAUGAGGGAAAGGCUGUGGAUGUUGUUUACCUAGACUUUAGUAAAGCCUUUGACACCAUUUCCCAUAGCAUUCUUCUGGAGAAACUGGCUGCUCAUGGCUUGGACGUGUGUACUCUUCACUGGUAAAAAACUGGCUGGAUGGCCUGGCCCAAAAAGUUGUGGUGAAUGGAGUUAAAUCCAGCUGGCAGCUGGUCACAAGUGUUGUGCCAGGGGAGGUUUAGAUGGGAUAUUGGGGAAAAUUUCUUCACCAAAAGGGUUAUCAAGCACUGGAACAGGCUGCCCAGGGAAGUGGUUGAGUCACCAUCCCUGGAGAUAUUUAAAAGACACAUAGAUGUUGUCCUUAGGGUGGACUUGGUGGUGUUAGGUUAAUGGUUGGACUCAGUGAUCUUAAAGGUCCCUUCCAACCUAAAUGAUUCUAUGAUUCUAUGACUAUAUCAGAAGCACUGGAACUAUGUAUUAGUGUUAGCUGAAAUCUGCUGUUUCCUGCUUGUUGCAUCUUUUUUGCACAUGAUGUGGAGCAGUUAGUCCUAAGUGGCAUACACUUCAGGACUGAGAACUUUGACAUUUUAGAGAUGUUACAUUUCAUAAGAAUAGAACCUUUUCAGAGGAAUCUUUCAUAGAUGUGCCAAUUUUUAGAAGAAAUUAAACUACUUUUACAGAAUUAGAUUAUUUGUUUUCAGAGAGUACUGCUUUGAAGGGUAUUCUUCAGCAAGAGGAGGUAGGUUAAUCUUUGUGCAGUGUUGCCAAGGAGAGCAUGGAGGGAGAUCUGAUUUGAAAAGGCAAAGUUCUAGUUCCAGGUACAUAUCUAAAUUUAGAAAAACUGUCACCAGUGCUGUGCUUAGAGAAAAGAAAAAUUACCCAAGAAAUUUCUUGUGCCUGUCUAGUCACAUUUCUGUGGUAGUGCCCAAAAUCAUUGAACUCCUCUGUUUGCCAUCCAAGUUUAUAACAAAUGUGCUGUACCUUGAGAGCUAAAAUGAGUAUUUUCUUCAACAGAGAAGAAUAAAAAAACCAAAACAAAACCCCAAACCCCAAACCCCAACUUUUUGGACAAAAUAGCAAUCAUAUUCCUGACAUUUUACACUGAAACUCAGUGUACAGUUACAAAUGCUUGGAUUAUUCACUGCGUGGUGUCUCAGUUUUUUGUAGCUUGGUAUCAUGGAUGUAUGGAUAAACUUGAAGCUGCCAACUAACUAGUUAAUGAUCAACUAGUUAUUCAGCAACACCAGCAAAAGUUGUAUGUCAAUGGUUUUUAAAACUUCUGGAUGUUUUUUUGAAAAGGUGUAACUGUGUAUACUAGAUCACAAGAACCAUACAGAAUUGGAUUGUGGUAUGGAACUACAUUGCACAACUGUGAAAUACUGGCUGAUAACUGGCUACUUAUAGCCCAAAUAAAUGUGAAAUAUGCUUAGACUUACUCUUUAACAAGUUUACAAUUUGAAGGAAAAUACAUGGGUUUGUAUUCAUUUUGGACUUAAAGGUGACUAUUAAAAAAAAAAAAGUUGUUUUUCUUGACUAAACACCAUAAGAGAAAUGUACAUCACACUAAAAAAGUAUACUGUUGUGAGACAGAACAUAAGUUAUGCUGAAAGAAAUCCUGUUGUAAGCACAAUGAAAACAAACUGUGUUUAAAGAUCCCACAAGCUUCAGAAGGAUGGGUGCUCAAAAGAACUCCAUACUGAAUAGUUACAUGCAAGUGUUCUGAGAACUGUUUUUUUAUAAUACAAAAAAGAUAACCAGUUAACCUGAAUUCUAUAGGAGACUUUAAUACAGUCUGUCCAGGAUGCCUUAAAUAAACAAUUACUUCCUAGCUUUCAUGCUGAUAGUUCUGUAUCUCUGCUAAACUCUGUGUGAGAUUGGUAAGAGUUCGUUGUAACUGUUCUGUUCUGGUAAAGCAUGUCAGAUUCAGCAGAACUGCAUAUGUGAACUGGCUGGCUGUAUCCAAUUUUGUCAUUAGCCUGGUAAAAUUAGAAGUAGUUCUCUUGUGCUAAUAUAAACUAAGGCUUGAAGGAAUUGUUUUAUCAGCUCAAUUCUUGGGCUGGAUGGGCCUAUUCCUGAUUAAUCCAGUUGCUGUUCUGGGUCUGUGUUCCUAUUAACUAUGCACAAUUUCUGUAAAAAGAGAUACUUUAAGAUGUGAUUCAUGAACAGAACCAAAGAUGAUAAAUGUGUUCUGUUUUCCUCUUCUGUAUUUUCUCCAUUUCAUUUUUUUGGAAAGAAGUGGAGGUAGAAGGAUAUCAUACAGACAGUGCCUUCAUUUCCAACUUGAUUCUUCUGUGUAUUAUUAGGCAAGACACAGUUGUUCAAGAAUUCCAAAUAUCUGUUUUCUGUAGGAAUCUGAAUUUACUCAACAUAAGGGCCAUGCUGCAAUCUUAACAUCUUCCAACAAUCUAGACAGUGAAUGCAAGCUUUACUCAGAAUGAAUACUCUUAGUUCAUAAGGUGAGCCCUCAUUUCUAAGGUCUAAAUGAAGUCUUACAAAAAGUAGGAACAGAGAAGCAGCGUUUGACACUAAGAUGAGAAUCAAAAAUGUGUUCUAAAUAGUAAUUUGCAUUUGUUUUGAUAAAACUGCCCUGUUAAGCAGUCAGAUGCCUUCUGUGAAAUCUGACAAUGUCCAGCAAGGAACAGAUAGCAAUAUGAACACUGAUAAAGAAAUACAUUAAUAUUCUCAGGCAAGAACAGCCUAUCGCACACUGACCUGCGAGUGCAUUUUGUCUACAGUCAAGAAGUAGAACAUGAUAAUCAAAAUACCAUACCAAAUAAAAACUGCUGCAACGAAAUUUAAUAAUCUAGUGCAUGCAUAUGUCCAACAACUUCUGUGAAGGAAGAACAUAAUAGGUUGUCUGAAUGGAGAUCAAUGAUGAGUGGUGUCCCUCAGGGGUCCAUAUGGUGUACUGGGACCAGUACCAUUUAAUAUCUUCAUCAACAACAUAGACAGUGGGAUCGAGUGCACUGUCAGCAAAUUUGCAGGUGAUGCCAAGCUUAGUGGUGUGGUUGAUGGGCCUGAGGGACAGGAUGCCAUCAAGAGGGACCUGGACAAGCUCAAGAAGUGGACCCAUGUGAACCUCGUAAGGUUCAACAAGGCCAGGUGCAAGGUCCUGCAUCUGGGUCGAGGCAACCCCAGUACCAAUACAAGCUGGGGGAUGAAGGGAUUGAGAGCAGCCCUGCUGAGAAAUACUUGGGAGUACUGGUGGAUGAAAAGCUGGACAUAAGCUGGCAUUGUGCACUUGCAGCCCAGAAAGCCAACUGUAUCCUGGGCUACACCAAAAGAAGCGUGACCAGCAGGUCGAGGGAGGUGAUUCUGCCCCUCUACUCUGCUCUGGUGAGACCCACCUGGGGUAUUGCAUCCAGCUCUGGAGUCCUCAGUACAGGAAAGACAUGGACCUGUUGGAGCAGGUCCAGAGGAGGGCCACAAAAAUGAUCAGACGGCUGGAACACCUCUCCCACGAGGAAAGGCUGAGAGAGUUGGAGUUGUUCAGCCUGGAGAAGGCUCAGGGGAGACCUUAUUGCAGCCUUCCAGUACUUAAAGUGGUCUUCCAAGAAAAAUGGGGACAGACUUUUUAGUAGGGCCUAUUGUGAUAGGACAAGGGGUAAUGGUUUUAAACUAAAAGAGGGUAGAUUCAGACUAGAUAUAAGGAGAAUUUUUUUUACAAUGUGGGUGGUGAAACACUGGACAGGUUGCCCAGAGAGGUGGUAGAUGGCCCAUCCCUGGAAACAUUCAAGGUCAGGUUGGACGGGGGUCUGAGGAACCUGAUCUAGUUGAAGGUGUCCUUGCUCAUUGCAGGGGGGUUGGAAUAGAUGACCUUUAAAGGUCCCUUCCAGCCAAACCAUUCUAUGACUCUUUGACUCUGUGAAAAAAAGUUUCUUCAAAGUUGAAGCAUGCUGUCAAGGUGGUUGAGACAGCCUUACUGACCCUAGAAGCUGAUAGUGCCAGUGGCAUGUAAUUCUUAUGAAAGGACCCUAAAAAAAAGGACCGUAAAAUCAAGAAAGAUGCAUCCACUUUGUUGUCUUUGGCUGAAAGUUUAUCAAGCUUCCUGGCAUAUUUUUCCAUGAUAAAUUAUAUACAAAUUGUUCCUCAUGGUAGUCACCUCAAUCAGAGUCACAUUUAGUUUGGUCAGAUUUUUUCCUUCCCUUAGAAGAAGACCACAAUCAAACAGUUGAAUAUCCAGGCUGGAUUAGAUAGUCUUGUGGAUUUUUAAUUUUUUUUUCGUUGGGCUUUUUUGGGCCAAAUUUGGAAUAAAAUCACUGAAAGAUUUUUUGGUCCAAAGCUCUUUGGCACACAUUCUCUUUCCUGAAAAUUACAUCCGUUUAUGGUCCUGGGAUGUUUAUGGAAUUACAUGGAACUAUUUUUGAGUGUCUGUCAGUGGAACUUGAGUAUACCUUUAAGGCACUUAACAAGAAGAUUAUGCUGAGCAAGUUGAAGACAUGAAUUUAUAUGGUUUUCUUUUGUCAUAGCAGAAUGUCAGAAAAAUCCGAGAUGAAGAAAUUAGUUUUGUAUUGAAGAGAGUACAGUUUCAUGGCAACUUCUCUCUCACAGGAGUAAUUUCUGUAGUUCAAACAUUAUUUGUAUGAAAACUUUGCUAUCUUUGCCUACCAGUCACUCAUCAUGCACCAAAGCUUGGUUCUGACUCUCCCAAAGUGAGCUGUUCUCCUGCAAAGGAGGUGAUUUUUCUUUGGUGUUUGCUUUCUAGCUCAUGAAAGCUUAAAACAGCAGGAGAGAGGCUUAGCGCUUCACUUGAUAUUUUCAAGUUGAGCCAAGGGAAAGAAUGGGGCAUGGGAGAGAGACCCAUCUUUCUGAGCAGCUGUCUUUGUAUUAGUUGGGGCGUGUUCUUUGGCUUCAAUCCAAUUAUCCAAUAUAUUUUUAGGCACCUUUAAUUCAGUAUAGCAGCUGAAAACAAGGAGAGGUAACUCACGUGAUAUGUUUAGCUCAUAGCAGACCCCACCAGCAGCGCUAAGCACCAGCAUGUCAGGAAGAAGGAUCAGCAGUGAAUUCCUUUUUAACAAUAGCCUUUUCUAUAGGGUUCGUGGAUUUUUUAAAUCAAUUUAGGCUUCAGAGUCUGAUAAUAUGCAAAGGAGACCUGAUGACCUUAUCGUGAAACUUGAAUUGAAGUUUUGAAGCAAUGUUGCAUGGUUCUGAAGACUUACAUUCUGAUAAUUUGGGUAUCCUCUCCUGUGACUAGUAGACAUAUGCUUUAUUUUUAUACUGGACCUUCUGGAUUAAAAAGUUUAGGAUCAGGUUGGAUUCUUCUGAAUCUAUUUCUCCCAAGUGUAAUCCAGAUGUCCUGCAGCUGGCUUUGGUUUAGAACUGUCUUGCCAAAAGAAUAGUUCCUUAGAAAUCAAAUGUGUUGGAUGAUUUUUUUAAUUCCCUUAUCUUUACCUAAAUCUCCUGCUUAUUUCAGACUGAAGCUUUAUGUGAGUAAGUUUGGCAGGAACUGGAUCAUAAUUGAGUUUAGAAGAAGCUGAGACACAAAGGCUGUUAAAAAAAAAUGUUCCGAUGCUAGUAUCUAUUAAGUAAGAAGAUAGAUGCCAAAUGCUAAAGAGUUUACCAAAAACCAACAAAAAUUUAGUGCUAAAAGGCUAUACUUAAGAAAAGCAGAGAAAUUUCAGAAAACAAACCCAUGCAUUGCUAUUGAGAGAAGUUGCUGUAUAUGGACACAGGAAACAAGUUUCCAAAUUGUGCAUUGCUAUGUAUGUGUUCUUGUCCUCAAAUGCAAACUGAAUGGAGCACAAGGUUAAUGAGCUUCAGACCAAGCUGAAGCAAGCACACAAGGAGUUAGGACAAAGUGGAGUAACUCCUGGAAAUGCUAUACAGCAUGCUAUUACUAUGUCAAGAGGAAGACACCCAGACUGCUGUCAGAAAUGAACCAGGAAUAUGGUUCUGACACUAGUACAACCUUAUUGUUGCUGACCUAAGAGGUGACAUGCUGCGUUUCUGAGUCUGUAUCUGGUCUGUAUGGAUGUCUAUGAAAUUAGAGCAUCAAUGCUGUAAGAAAAAGCAAUGAUUAAGAAGGUCAAGCUGGCUAAGACCCCUGGGGCUAUGUUUGCAGCAUGAACUACAAGAAUGCGAUCAGGCAUUUCAAGUUAUUAAUGAGAUGCACUUCUGGUAUCUUUAAACAGUGCUGAUUAUUUUUUUUACCCAGGCUGAAAUGAUGUGGAGAAGAGUGGGAUUAUGUUUGAGCAGUUCAUUAACAUCAGAAAAAAAUAAAUGAGGGCAUUGAACUAGAUACUACUAGUAAAAUGCAUCCUUGCUUCUUGGUAGGCGAUAAAGUAGUCAUGUCAGGCAACACAGAAUUUAACCACCUCUUCUGUGGGCAAUAUGGAGGUUCUCAUUGCUCUGAGGGCAUCAAAUUGGUGUGGCUACUAGGUCUUAUUUAUGGUGAAAGGAAAAAGCAAGGAAACUUAUAAAAAUUAUGGGUUGUCUUUGUCACAGAGAGUGGAGAGAGGAGAACUGGCUAUCACAAAGGUCUGUAAAAUCAAAAUUGAACCUGAUGCACAUGCAAUGAUUUUCACAUAAUACAGCAACUACAAGUGAAACUGGUAGGUAAUGGACCCUGAGCGAAUGAAAAAAAAGCUACUACUUCAGUUGCACAAUGUAUAAUUAAGCUGUGGAACUCAUUGCCUCAGGUAGAAAUGCUAGAAAUGGAAAGCAAUUAGAUACCAGUUCUGACUCAGGCAGGCCUCAUAGUGUUUUGUCAGAAGGUGGAAGAGUAUUAUGGGUACAUUAUAUAGUACACGCCUGACCUAUUCUCAGAUUUUCUCUAGGUAUGUACUAUUGGCGCCUACUCUUGGCAGAUCCUGUUAGCCAGGGAAAGGUGGAGACAGUCUUCUCCUACCAAAAAUUAAGCAGCUGAGGUUCCUGGGAAAUUACAGGGAUCAGCACAUCUGGAGUGUGAAGGAUUGGCUUCACCGUAGAAAACCCACCUUCCAUGACCAUGGUGUCUCCCCUACCAGGCAAACAAAAGGCUACUGGGCUAGACAGACUGUUGGGCUGAUCCUGUAUUGCAGUAGUGAUGUUUAUAUUUGCUUCUGAAAAGUGGACCCUUGCUUUGUUAGUGUUUCCUCCCUUAUAAAACAGAAGUCAUUCUUUUGCCUCUGUACAUUUGUAGAAUACUGUCAGGAGCCCAGGUGAAAGGGUAUUCUAGAUGCUUGAAUUAUUACUGUUAGUAUUGAGUAUGGUUGUUUUGUUGAGGGCUUUUUUCCAGCUGAAAGUGGGUUUGAAUGAAAGGAAACAUAUUUUUGGAAGAAAACUAUAUUGGUGGAAAUUGUUUAUAACUCUGGGUAGUAAAGAAAGCCAAUAAAAGUGGAUUUCUUUAAAAAAAA